UUAUGUGAUCGUCUCUCGCAUAUCAAUAAGCGGAGGAAAAGAAACUAACAAGGAUUCCCCUAGUAACGGCGAGUGAAGCGGGAAGAGCUCAAAUUUGAAAUCUUAAAGGGUUUCCCUUUACGAAUUGUAGUUUAAAGAAGUGUUUUCUGUUGAGGUUUUGGUAAAAGUUCUUUGGAAUAGGACAUCAUAGAGGGUGAGAAUCCCGUAUUUGACCUUUACUUUCAACUUUGUGAUACACUUUCAAAGAGUCGGAUUAUUUGGGAAUGCAGUCCAAAAUGGGUGGUAAAUUUCAUCUAAAGCUAAAUAUUGGCGAGAGACCGAUAGCGAACAAGUACCGUGAGGGAAAGAUGAAAAGAACUUUGAAAAGAGAGUUAAACAGUACGUGAAAUUGUCAAAAGGGAAGCGUUUGACACCAGUGUUGUUUUUUCUGAAAAUCAAUUAAAGAACUGUUUAUGCUAAGUUGUUUAGACUUUAUCAGCUAACUGUCUAGUUUUGAGCUUUUCUUUAAUGCACUUUUCAGUUAACAAGUCAACAUCAAUUUCUUUUGCUGUAAAAAAGCUUGAGGAAGGUGGCUUGAGAUUCGUCUUAAGUGUUUAUAGCCUCUUGCCUAUGCAGUCGGAGAGAUUGAGGUCUGCAGCGUAGAUCCUUCGGGGCUAAAUGCAUUUGUGCUAAGUUAUAGCAUUUUAUAGACAACUUGUUGACUAUGAUUUGUCUUGUAGCUUACUCGCUUAUGUUAUUUUACCUACGCUUAGGAUGUUGACACACGCGCGUGCUCG
rnacentral:rRNA from 1 species